rnacentral:rRNA from 1 species
GAUGAACGCUAGCUACAGGCUUAACACAUGCAAGUCGAGGGGAAACGGCAUUUAGUGCUUGCACUGAAUGGACGUCGACCGGCGCACGGGUGAGUAACGCGUAUCCAACCUACCCAUUACUGUGGGAUAACCUGCCGAAAGGCAGACUAAUACCGCAUAGUCUUCGAUGACGGCAUCAGAUUUGAAGUAAAGAUUUAUCGGUAAUGGAUGGGGAUGCGUCUGAUUAGCUUGUUGGCGGGGUAACGGCCCACCAAGGCGACGAUCAGUAGGGGUUCUGAGAGGAAGGUCCCCCACAUUGGAACUGAGACACGGUCCAAACUCCUACGGGAGGCAGCAGUGAGGAAUAUUGGUCAAUGGGCGCGAGCCUGAACCAGCCAAGUAGCGUGCAGGAUGACGGCCCUAUGGGUUGUAAACUGCUUUUGUAUGGGGAUAAAGUCAAUCACGUGUGAUUGUUUGCAGGUACCAUACGAAUAAGGACCGGCUAAUUCCGUGCCAGCAGCCGCGGUAAUACGGAAGGUCCGGGCGUUAUCCGGAUUUAUUGGGUUUAAAGGGAGCGUAGGCUGGAGAUUAAGUGUGUUGUGAAAUGUAGACGCUCAACGUCUGAAUUGCAGCGCAUACUGGUUUCCUUGAGUACGCACAACGUUGGCGGAAUUCGUCGUGUAGCGGUGAAAUGCUUAGAUAUGACGAAGAACUCCGAUUGCGAAGGCAGCUGACGGGAGCGCAACUGACGCUGAAGCUCGAAGGUGCGGGUAUCGAACAGG